rnacentral:tRNA from 1 species
CAGAGUAUAGCUAAACAACGCAUAGCAUCUCCCUUACACCGAGAAGACAUCCGUGCAAACCGGAUUACCCUGA